AAGAUGAAGAAGAAGAGGAGGAGAAGAUUGGGAAAUGUGUUAAUCAUGGAGACCAUGUUGAGACAUUCUCUACAUCCAGAGAGCAUCAGCAGGAAGAUCACAGAGCAAAGAUGUCUCACCACUGCCCACAUUUUGCAGUGGGCUAAGGAAUGAAAACACUGGAGAAUUUUAAAAACAUUGCCUGGUCUGAUGAAUCCCUGUUCCUGCUGUUUCACGCUGAUGGGAGGAAACCACGAGUACAACAUUGCAGGCUGGUGGUGGUGGUAUGAUGGUGUGUUUUCAUGCCACAUAUUGGGCCCCUUGAUAAAAGUGGAGCAACGUUUGUGUAAAAAUCAUUGCCAAUCAGGUGCAUCCCUUCAUGGUGGCCAGGAAUGAUUCCAAGAACAUGACAGGGAAUUCAGCUUACUGCAGUGGCCUGCUGAGUCACCAGAUCUCAAUCCAAUUGUGCAUCUGUGGGAGGACAUGGGAGGAAACCACGAGUACAACAUUGCAGGCUGGUGGUGGUGGUAUGAUGGUGUGUUUUCAUGCCACAUAUUGGGCCCCUUGAUAAAAGUGGAGCAACGUUUGUGUAAAAAUCAUUGCCAAUCAGGUGCAUCCCUUCAUGGUGGCCAGGAAUGAUUCCAAGAACAUGACAGGGAAUUCAGCUUACUGCAGUGGCCUGCUGAGUCACCAGAUCUCAAUCCAAUUGUGCAUCUGUGGGAGGACAUGGAAGGAGCUAUUCAGAGUAGAUCCACUCCCAGCCAACUUGACACAAUUGUGGGAAGCAUUGGAGUCAACAUGGGCCAGCAUCCCUGUGGAACGUUCUCAACACCUUGGAGAGUCCAUACCCCGACUAUUGAGGCUGUUCUGAGGACAAACGGAGGUAUAACUCAAUAUUAGGAAGCCAUUCCUAAUGUUUUGUGUAUAUCAGAUAAAGAUGUUGUGGUGAUAAGUUUUCAGCAUUAGUUUGGGUGGAUUCUUUUAUAUUACUAAACAACUUUUGUUUAAUGAUAAACAGGCUAUGAAUCGAAUACUUGUGUUUUUAUUAAUUUGUCUUUUAAUACUAGAUUCAUUAUUUUAGUCAUUGAUGAUGAAUGUAUUUGAAUAACUGUAUUGAAUAUAAUUGAUCUGGUGGCAGGUAGCCUAGCGGUUAAGAGUGUUGGGCCAGUAACUGAAAGGUUGCUGGUUUGAAUCCUGAGCCGACUAGGUGAAAAAUCUGUCAUUGUGCCCUUGAGCAAGUCAAUUAACUCUUAUUUGUCCUGUAAGUCUCUCUGGAUAAAAACAUCUGCUAAAUGACAAGAAUGCAAUGAAAAAUGUUUGUACAUGAAUUCAUGCUGGGCAGCCACUUUUUUCUGAUGUGUAUAAUUAAAUGAAAUAAACCUUUUAGUUAAAUAUU